rnacentral:rRNA from 1 species
UACGUAGGCAGCAAGCGUUGUUCGGAGUUACUGGGCGUAAAGAGUGUGUAGGCGGUUCGCCAAGUUCGGUGUGAAAUCUCCCGGCUUAACUGGGAGGGUGCGCCGAAAACUGGCGGGCUGGAGUGCGGGAGAGGAGAGCGGAAUUCCUGGUGUAGCGGUGAAAUGCGUAGAUAUCAGGAGGAACACCUGCGGUGUAGACGGCUCUCUGGACCGUUUCUGACGCUGAGACACGAAAGCGUGGGUAGCAAACAGG